rnacentral:rRNA from 1 species
AGUUUGAUCCUGGCUCAGAACGAACGCUGGCGGCAUGCCUAACACAUGCAAGUCGAACGAAGGCUUCGGCCUUAGUGGCGCACGGGUGCGUAACGCGUGGGAAUCUGCCCUUGGGUUCGGAAUAACAGCGGGAAACUGCUGCUAAUACCGGAUGAUGUCGAUAAGACCAAAGAUUUAUCGCCUGAGGAUGAGCCCGCGUUGGAUUAGGUAGUUGGUGGGGUAAAGGCCUACCAAGCCGACGAUCCAUAGCUGGUCUGAGAGGAUGAUCAGCCACACUGGGACUGAGACACGGCCCAGACUCCUACGGGAGGCAGCAGUGGGGAAUAUUGGACAAUGGGCGAAAGCCUGAUCCAGCAAUGCCGCGUGAGUGAUGAAGGCCUUAGGGUUGUAAAGCUCUUUCACCGGUGAAGAUAAUGACGGUAACCGGAGAAGAGGCCCCGGCUAACUUCGUGCCAGCAGCCGCGGUAA